ACCUGCCGCCUCCCGCUGGGCAGUGGCGCGGAGGCGGGACCUGUGUGUCGGCGUGUCCGUCAGUGCCUGGCUCGGCCCUCCCCGUCGGAGGCUGGGCAGGGGGACGUGGCAGAGGGGAAGCCACGUGCUAGAGGCGACUCCAGGACACACCCCUCCACCUCCCUCCGCUCUGCCUCCUCCUCCUCUCCUCGGUCCUUCUUAGAAAACAAGCACAACUUGUUCCUGGAACUCGCUGGAGCAGUUACACGCUUCGUCAGCUCUAGUUCAGAGAACAAAACAAUCCCACCAAUUCCUUUGAACUUCCGGACCAUCCUGAUGCCUGCACCGCGUGGGCCCUGCCUCGGCCCAGACGGAGCUACAGUAAAAAUAAAUGUAAGAAUAGAUACAGCUUUAGGACACCUGCCUGAGCUCCGACGUCCUCCUCCGCCCUGGCUCACGCGGACCGAGCCCGUUUGUCCGGCUCCCCGGCUUCCCACGUUCGUGACGCAGCGUGUCUGGUCUGGUCUGGACCCGGCACCCUCUGGCGCGCCCAGCGGGACUCCUGCUGUGGGACCGCCUCUCCUGCGGCGGCCGUCCCCGCACAGGGCGGCUGUGUCUCGACUUUCUGCGCGGCCGUGACCUGCUGGCUCCUCCUGAGCUGGUGCCGGGUUCGCAGGCUCGGCCCACUGCUGCCAAGGCCGUUCUCCGUUGCUCUUUCUCAUCUGGGUCAGGAGUCCCCCGUUUCCUACGGGAAUCCGUCCGGAGGCGAGGCCACGUCUGGAGAACUGGAUGAAAUAAAUUAAGAAAAACCGCAGGACCUCCCCUGCGUGCGGACAGCCCUGCCCACGGCACGGAGGUCCCUCCAUCGCCU